AUGACAAGUCACACCACCUAUAACAUCAAUGGUCACACUUCCUAUCAUGACGGGAAGUACUAUGAGACCUGUAGCAACUGCCUCCUGUCUGAAGACACCACUCUCCUCCCUGACGGCAAGUCAAAGGGGCGAUACUUCUUCCUGUUCACACGGACCGGCGCUCUGGAAGCUUCUGAGUUGGAGACCUUCAAGAACCAGGCAGAAUGUCUUAAAUUCCCCUCAGAGUACCACUUUACAAGCAAAGAUCUUUGUCCUGAUGACAGGGCGACCGCGUCAACUGCCGUCAAGAAUACAGAGAAAGAGCAACCUGAGAUAGAGCCUAAUGUGCAGUAAAGUAGAGCAAAGAGGUGCCACAGCUCUCUGAACACCAAGAUAAAUCUUCCUUUAAAUGUACUAAAUAGUGCUGUAGUGUGAUCUACAUGUGCUGCCAUACAAUGUUGUGCUGCAUAAUAACUUUUUAAUACACUAUGUUGUCUUUCCAACUAAGAAAAAUCAAGUCUAAAUCCCCAGUUUAAAUCCUUU